rnacentral:tRNA from 1 species
GGUUCCUUCGCUCAGCAAGAGCAUUUGAUUAUGGAUCAAGAGGUCACCAAUUCGAACCUGGUAGGACUG